GGAGCGAUAGGUACCGAUGCUUUGAGGGUGGCUGUUGUCUAUGUGUGUAGAGGGUCCCCGGUUUGAGCCCAGGUAGGAGCGAGGAGAGGGAGGAGAGGGACUGAAGCAAAACUGUUACACGGACACCAUUUUAAUCCUCUUUGUAAUUUUGUAAGUCUGGGCAGCGAGCUCAUUUGUCAUCGAUCGCUAGACCAGAAAUAGUCAGAAGUUUUUUAUUUUUUCCCCUACUUUUUCAUUACGCAGACAUAAGCACAGUUGACUCCAUCGAGGUGUGGAUGUUUACUUUCUACACAAGUUGUUUUUUUACUGUUUCGUCCGACGAACAGAUUGUAGUGGUAAAGUAAAAAGACAUACAUUUUUAAUGGCAUCACUCCAGUCAAAACAGGCUCUGCGAACGUUCAAUUCCAUUAAUUUGCUAUGGGCUCGCGCUAGUGUUCCAGUUUAGCCGUGGGUGAAUUUUGACUCGUUCUAUUGUCCAGCCUAUAGACAGCCAUAGCGAAUUUACGAAAGCACCCGAAUAUCCAUUGAGAAAGCAAAAUGACUAUACCAUUUCGCUAAGCUAAGAAUCACGAGAAUAAUCAAGUCAAUAAGUGUUGGGUAGUUAGAUAGCCUAUAGUUAUAUACUGGCACGUUUGCUGUAUAACUACUAACGUUAGUUAGCUAGCUAACAUACCGGUACGUACUGCUGUAAUUAUAUGCUAUGUGGUUCGUAAGGACAGUGGAGCUAACAAAUUGUCAGCCAACAUAACGUGUAAGGUAACUUAUUUGAAAAGUCAUUACUUUAUUACAUUGAGUAGCAAGCUACACCUUGGUUGUUAGGGCAAAUCUGGUCUGAUAGGAGUUUUUUUCCACACCUAGCUCGGCUAUUUGACUAUUUUUUAGUGAAGGUUGAAUAGUCUAUUGUUCAGCUAUUAGCCCCCUUCCCCAACUUGCAACAAAUUGUUGUUCCCGUCUCAUUCCUUUCCCUCUUCCACGCGUCAUCAUUCUGCUCCUGAGUGGCAUGCUGGCAGGAUAUGGCAGCAUCUUUGGAUGUGCGUCAAGAAUUCUGCAUACAGUAGCACGUUUGUAUGAAGGUGUGGUUAUUCACAGGCAAAUUGUUAUAUGCUAUGUAGGUACAUUUGUGUCUUUUUGUCUAUUUUCAAUUGAAAAGAAUUGUUCUGAAAGCAACUUUUUUCCGACAAAAGGAAGCGUCGGAAGCGGACACCUACGAAGAUGGCAUCUCAGAUAAACAGCACUGGGCUGUAUUGACGUAUCCUAAAAAUGACAUAUGUUGCUUUAGAUUGAACAGUCAUAUCUCAGUUAUUGUUUUCAUAUCUAUAAAAAAUAAGCUGUUUUCUUUACUUUCAGUUCGCUGAUCAAGGGGUCGAAAAUGUAGAUAUUGCCAGAUGUUCACUGUCCGAGGAACAGGCCGUGGAAGCUUUAUUGCUGGCAAAAGUGUCCAUAAGCAGAGAUCUACACCAGAUAAACACAACCAAUUUCACUGUUGCUAUCUGUUGCUGCCAAGUCAUGAUUUCCCUGGGGGUUAGCCUUUCAAUAUCCAAGUGGUUAUAUCAGCUGUUUUGGUGAACCCCUCCCGCAUCUGAACUGGCUGACACAGAGGGCACAGCAUGAUCAUAGGUGAGAUGUCACUUGGUCGGGUCACCAGGAUUAUUAAAGAGAUGGGUCUUUCAAAUGGACAUUGACCCCAAGCAUACUUCCAAAGUUGUGGCAAAAUGGCUUAAGGACAACAAAGUCAAGGUAUUGGAGUGGCCAUCACAAAGCCCUGACCUCAAUCCUAUAGAAAAUGUGUGGGCAGAACUGAAAAGCGUGUGCGAUCAAGGAGGCCUACAAACUUGACUUAGAUACACAAGCUCUGUCAUGAGGAAUAGGCCAAAAUUCACCCAACUUAUUGUGGGAAGCUUGUGGAAGGCUAUCCGAAAUGUUUGACCCAAGUUAAACAAUUUAAAGGCAAUGCUACCAAAUACUAAUUGAGUGUAUGUAAACUUCGGACCCACUGGGAAUGUGAUGAAAAAAAUAAAAGCUGAAAUAAAUCAUUCUCUCUACUAUUAUUCUGACAUUUCAUGUUCUUAAAAUAAAGUGGUGAUCCUAACUGACCUGUCACGCCCUGGCCUUAGUUAUCUUUGUUUUUGUUAUUAUUUUAGUUAGGUCAGAGUGUGACAUGGGGAAGGUAUGUGUUUUUGUAGUGUCUAGGGGUGUUGUAUGUGUAUGGGGCAGUGUCUAGUGUAGUUGUCUAGGUAAGUCUAUGGUUGCCUGAAGGGUUCUCAAUCAGAGACAGCUGUCAUUCAUUGUCUCUGAUUGGGAGCCAUAUUUAAGGCAGCCAUAGGCAUUAGGUUAAUGUGGGUAAUUGUCUAUGUUGUACGUUUGUAGCUUGUGUGUGCACUUACGCCUAUAGCUUCACGAUCGUUUGUUGUUUUGUUUUGUAAAAGUGUUAGUUUCGUGUUUCGUCAUCUUUAAUAAAAGAAGAUGUCUUCAUA